AUCGACACUUUACAAUGUCGAAAAUACCAUCGCUUCACCAUCUUCCUCUCUUUAGACUUAAUACCAGUCGAAUCAUCUCUAGAUUCCAACAAUACCUUCAAAUCAACAUUACUCAUCCAAAUCAAAAUACUACGAAUCAACAGAAUUCAUAAUCUUCGAAGCUAAAUCCCUAAACUUAGAAUACGAAACCCUAGAAUUUGUGGAUGGUAAACCUUUGGUUCUUCUCAAAUGGACUGGUAAGAAUCAAAAUCUUCCUUCAAUCCUUUUGAAUUCACACAUAGAUAAUGUACUAUCUGAACAUCAAAAGUGGAAUCAUUCUCCAUUCGGUGUAAAUGUUGAUGAAUUCGGUGAUAUCUACGCGAGAAUGGUCUGGUUUUUCAACCGAUUCGAACUGUUUAUUUGUCCUUUGUACCUGAUGAAGAGAUUGGUGGUCAUGAUGGUGCGGAGAAGUUCGCCGAAUCGGAGAAAUUCAAGAAGAUGACUGUUGGAAUUGUCCUCUGCAACAUUGGUCAAGAAAGCUUAAGAGGGGAUCCAAAUUACACAGCAAACUCACCUUCUCAAGCACACAUUACCGCACAACAAUUACUUGAGAAAAGGUUAAAACUGAUGGAAUUUGUUAAUGCUUAAAUGGUUUCUUUUUAAUUCUUAGGACCAAGGUCUGUGGAGAGGUUUAUAGCUUAUGCGCUGUGUUCCGCGGAUGAAAGCUCUAAGAGAUGCUAACUGGCUGCCCACUGAACUCAGAGAAGAAAGAAAGGACGGGAGUUUCUAUUGGAGCAGGCACUGGAUGCAUAAGUGACAUUUUGGAUGCAGCAAAAAUGGUCUGUGAGAAGUAAUUGAAUUGAAGUAGCAGGCAUAUCAAAAGGUUGUUGCUUUGAAGAGGCAAGAGGAGCUCAUUCGUGAGAAAGAGGAGACUUGGCAAGAUGAGAAUGAGCAAAAAGUAAAUGGUGGAGCUGCUGACAAGGAAAAACGCUCCAAGGAAAAACAGGAAGUAGACAUUUUCUUGCACAGUGACGUCGACAAAACAAGUUUUCUUAUAAUUAUCUUUGGUCGUGUCUUCCAACUCCGCCACGUUCCAUUUUGGUGUGCUCGCAGAGCAAACAAAAGCAUAACGGUGGAUCACAAGACCAGAUGCUAACGAAAUGCAAUGAAUUUUCAAAGCAAUUGUUUCACACUUGUCUUGCAGCUUAACUUAUACAGGUAAACCGGCUCCAUAAAAUGAGCUGACUGAUGAAUUCAGAAUUCUUGAGGCUGGGAUUUGGAAUGCAGUUUAUCUAAACAAUGGAUAAAGGGCAAAAAACGAUAGCAAGACUUGUCACAUAUGAUGAUGUGAAGCAGAGGUUGUGGGGACUUCAUUUAUCUACUCCAGUAAUAUAAGGUAGCCUCACUACUGUAGAUGGGAAAAAGGUACCGAACAUUUAUAAAUUAAGUUACAAUUGUUACUAGUAUAACAUUGAAUAGGUAUAGUUUGUUGUCCUAAUGCUGCCGCUCAUAUUUUGAUUAGUUAAAUUGAUAACUGAAACACUAACGGAAUCCCAUGACUACUAAUCACUUUUUACUGUUGUUUGGUUUAGUACUAGGUAUGAUUAGAUCGACUGAGAUUUACCAGUUGAACAAGAGAUUAGAGUAUAAUGUGGAGAAAAGUUUGGGUAAUUUGGUUGAGACAUCAAUUACUACAAUGAUAGGAAAAACCAUGUCAGUCUGGUAUCAUGCUUCGGUAUGCAAAUCAUCCUGUGGCUUCCAUAUCUUAGUCCUGGAUGCAGGUUAAAUGCUAAGCCAUUAUAUGGAAAUCCAGUCAUUAUGCAACUAGAGCUUGGCGUAGUUUAGAUUUUUGUCAGUCUGCGCAUACUAGAGUGGCAGUCUGGUUAUAUGAAUGUUGGAUUCUCUAUAUUUUUGUCGAUAGGUAUAGUUGUACACUAAUGUGAAUUACAAAUUUUAAAAAGUGAAAAUUAUAUAGUUAUAUGGGUACUCUUUUUGUAAAUCUUGAAAAAAGCUUUACGAAUAUAUAAAGUUUGUGAAUUUUGG